UCAGGAUUUUCCAUAAUGCCUUUUAAUUAUUCUUAAAAAGUAUUUUUAACUACUUCAUCCUAUUUAGGAACUCCUUCAUAGAUGAAUGCUUGGCGUUAUUCAUUACCCAGUCUUGAGGGACUCACUGGUGAGCUCGGGGCUCAGGGAGUAGACCUGACUGGGGAGCUAAGUGAUCUCGUGUGACUCUCUAUGCCUCGUUGCCACCAGCGUGGGCCAUCUCCAGGGGCUCUCAAACCGAUAGAAGACCUUGGGGUGUGGGAAAACAGCUCCAGAGCUUCUAAACUGAGCGGAUUGUUCCUAGUGAGAAAGAUUUAAUUCCAGAACAUAACUGGGGUGCUUUAUUGCAACACUUACAGUGUGCUGCAAUCCUUGUUCCACUCAGCAUGCAGCUCUCAGCCGAGCAGCACUGGCAGCACCGGUGAGCUUGUCAAAGAGGCACAUUCACGGGCCCUAACACCAACUACUCUGUUGGGAUGGAGUCCAGGAAACAGCUUUGAGAAAUCUUUCAGGUGAUUCCUUAAAGUAUAAGAAUCGUGGUUACAACAGUUAUAUACAUGGAUUCUAGGGCUAUAAUGCGUGGGUUUGCAUUGUAGCUAUCCCACUGCAGGCUGCGUGCCCUUGGGAAAAUUACUUAACCUCUCUGAGACACAGGCUCCUCAUCUGUAAAAUGAGAUUUCAUAAUAAUUCUUCCCUCACGGAGUUGUGAGAAUUAUCUGGUCAAUGCAUG
rnacentral:lncRNA from 1 species